GCCGCCUUAGCUCAUCUGGAAGAGCGUAAGACUGAAGAUCUUAAGGUAGCGUGUUCGAUCCACGCAGGCGGCA
rfam:Rhizoclosmatium globosum strain JEL800 BCR33scaffold_142, whole genome shotgun sequence.